UGGCAGCCGUGCCCUUGGGCAGCAGCGUGCAGCCAGGAGCGGGCUGAGCCCUGCCGGGCCAGCAGGCCGUGUGGCCACAGCACCGGCAGCGCCGCUGGCAGGGAGCUGUGCCGCUGGGGCCAAGGUGAACUCUUUGUUCUCAGAGAUGGCUGGCUCUCCCAUCGUGAAAAGGCAGCAGGAAGAGCUCCAGGCCCACAGUCAGGCCAAUUAAGUGCCAAGGGAAGACAUGAGUCCGUCCCACGCCCAAUUUGCCAGAAGAGCUGAAGAAUUAGCUGCAUCUUCAGGAUCCGGCAAACCAGUGUCCCGAGAACAGCACCAGGAGGCACUGAAGAGGACACCAUCUCCCACUGCCACUGCAGCUCCAGGCACAGCCGAUGACUGGCACAGCUGAGCCUGUGGGAAGCUCCCCGUUGCUUCUGCCUUCUCUGUGCCUGUAGAUAGCUCCCUCUGUCCAGCCCUCACACCCUGCCCAUUCCCUUUUCUUUCCUCCCAGCUCAUCCCUUUGCUUCGCCUUCUAUUAAUAAACAGUUUGGCUUCUUCA